rnacentral:lncRNA from 1 species
UAUAACAAAGGUAAAUUACAUAGUCGAAAUAUUUUCAUAGUACUAUUUAUUCUCUUCCUAUAUAAAAUGUUUUUUUUUUUUUUUUUUUUUUUGUCAAUAGUAAUAAUUUCGAACUUGUCGUCGGUUCUAAAUUACUCACUCAUUUUUUUUCUAAUUACAUAUUUUUUUUAAUGAUUUUUAAGUAUUUUUUUUUAAUAUUUUUUUGAAGCACUUUUUUUUUUUUUUUUUUUUAGUUUUUUCAUCAUUAUUUUAAGAUUUAGAAAUAUAUUUAUUCUACUGUUUAUUAAUAAAAUUAAUUUAAUUAUAUCACAAUUUAACUUAAAUUAUAACAACAACAAAAAAAAAAAAAAAGUAAUAUAACUAAAAAAAAUACAUUAUUAUGGUAUAAUAUAUAAAAUCUAUUAGAAACGCUUAAAAUUAAUGAAAAAUAUUUACUAAAAUCAUUAUUACAUCGCAAAUUGUAAUACAAGAAUGUUUACCACAAUUUUUAAAAUAAUUAUUGUUUUGUUUUUUACAUGGACUAAUAACAACAAGGAUAUAAAAUAUGGUAGAUUACUGGCUCAACAUAUCUCUCAACCCAAAACGAAUGAUUAUUUUGGUAUAGCACAAUAUGAUUCCCUUAACGAAUUUUGUAAAAAUUGUGAACAAUAUGUGAUUAUUGGUGAUGAAACAGAUGAAGCUGCGUUUGAUAUUGUUGAAUAUAACAAAAACAAAUCAAUAUAUUUAACCGAUAUUAAAAAUGAAUUAAUUAAAAUGUUAGCUGACCAAUCUAAUCCCCGAAUAACGAAUAUACUACAAAAAAUAAAAAUCUACAAGAAAAAGACUUAAUAGAAAUAUAUGAUCUUUUAAAACACGUCAUUUCAAGUGAAGAAUAUUUACUAAUUUUAAAUGAAACUUGUGAAUUAUUAAAAAAGGGAAAGAGCAACAAUAACGAUAAUGCUGAAGUAUACUACAACACGAUGAUACAUUUAAUGAAUACAUAUUUCUUUUUUACUAACAAUAAAAAAAAUUUAAAGAAAACUUAAUACGGUUAG